GGCGCAGAGGCCAAGCGGCAAGGCGUCUGUCUUGUAAACUGAAGAUCAUGGGUUCUACCCCGAUCUGUGCCU